rnacentral:tRNA from 3 species
GAGCGGCUGGCCGCCGCGGUGCAGUCGGCGCUGGGCACGCUGGAGGAAGCGCUCAACGAGUCCGACCGCUUCGAGCCCGGUGCCUCGCGC